UCUCCGUUUCCAGGAACAAGCGUCGCUGUAACACGGGAGGUGUCCGCGCUCCCGGGCCUGAGGGCUCUGGCCGGGGCCUGCAGCGAGCGCCCCUUUCCGUGGUCUACGGUCGUGCGCCCUCUGUGUGCAAGUGCAAAGGGGUCAGGUGGGUGCUCUGCGUUGUUGCCUGGUGUUCACAGACGUGAGUGAAGAGGGAGCUGAGAAACCAGCACAGGAGGGGUCUGGACAUGCUGUGGGGCGAGGACGGGCCCGGCGCUGCUCAUGUCACCAGGCUUUGGAAGACCCUGUCCCCAGGCCUUGCCCUAGUCUAAAGGCAGGUGCAGGGCAAGGAGAAAAAGGGGACGUUGAAGAGAAGGAUAAGGGUGUCAAGGGAGGUGCAAAAGGGUGCAGUGGCCCGCAGCCCUUCUGGGGCUGUCCCCUGCAGGCAGGGCCAAGGGGGGGGCAGACAGCCGGGGCUCUUCCAGCGGGAGGAAGCCCGCAGGCCCCGAUCUGAGGUGACAGGAGUCCUCGGGGUUAUUUUGGGAGCUGGAAAUUCAAUCCUGUGGUCCUCCCACCUCCCUACCUUGGCCAAGCCUGCGGGCAGCCUCCUGUUCUGAGCCGCCGCCGUGUCCUGGGGCAGAUUUUCCACCGUCCAGUGAGGCCCGCGCAGCCUCUCCAGGGAACCAGGUAUUUUCUUUUCCUCUGGCCUCGGGAUGGGGUUCACGGAGCACGUACGUAGCGGGCACUUCUAGGUGGCUUCAAGGCAAGAGGAAUGUUUUAGAAGACUUGAAAUUAUUUCCUCUUUAAAAUAGUACAGCCCUCCCGAACCCCAAAAAUAAAAAAUAAAAUAGUACAACCCAAAUGCUAAAGGGGGCUACAUUUUUUUUUUCAAAACUAGAAACAGGGGUGCCCGGUGGCCCCGUUUGGGGGCAUCCAACUCUUGAUUUUCACCAGGUUGUGACCUCUGGUGACGGCUGGUCAUGGAGCUUAAGAUUCUCUCUCUCUCCCUCUGCUCCUUUCCCUCCCCGCCCCCCCCAAACAGCCUGGCAGGAAAUGGGGCAGAUGGCGGGUGAUGCCAGAGGAUUACAUUUGUCCACAAGUGGAAUAAAGCAGCUUGUGAGAGAUGCCCCCUCGUUCCCGUGGGGAUUUUUCUCAGGCUCACCUUGGGAAAACAUGAAAGCUGUGGUCCGGGUUAGUGCAGGACCACCUUCUCCACGAGACGGUAUUAUGCGGUGAAGUCCAGCGAUCUCCAGUGUGGGGGUGAGGAAGUCUCCACGGACGAGUGAACCCCGGAAAUCGCGGCGGCUGCGGGGCCGGGGGAGCCUGCUCUGAGCACCGCUUCCCUUGCCGCGCUGCCCGCGGAACUGUUACAGGGAUUUUCCCCGAGGUUAUCAGCCACGGAUCCAGGUUUUUCCUUUUCUUUCUUCCUUUUCCUUCCUCUCUCCUCUCCCUCCCACUUUUUUCUUUUUUUUUCUUUUUUCUUUUUUUGGCUUUUAAGAAUAAAGCUGCUAUGAUCAUUCUUGUGUGUGUCUUG
rnacentral:lncRNA from 1 species